rnacentral:rRNA from 1 species
CAGUAGCCGCGGUAAUACGGAGGGUGCAAGCGUUAAUCGGAAUUACUGGGCGUAAAGCGUGCGUAGGCGGUUCGUUAAGUCUGUUGUGAAAGCCCCAGGCUCAACCUGGGAAUGGCAAUGGAUACUGGCGAGCUAGAGUGUGUCAGAGGAUGGUGGAAUUCCCGGUGUGGCGGUGAAAUGCGUAGAGAUCGGGAGGAACAUCAGUGGCGAAGGCGGCCAUCUGGGACAACACUGACGCUGAGGCACGAAAGCGUGGGGAACAAACAGGAUUAGAUACCCCCGUAGUCCCUGUCUCUUAUAC